GUCAGUCAGUCUUCUCAUAACCGCGCUCGCGUGUGAGAGGGCAUGUGUGUGUGUGCAUUUUUAUUGCAGGGAGCAAGCUUGCGAGUAUGUGAGUAUUGCGAGUAUGUGACCUUGCACACGUGUGUAUUAUUCCCAGAGAACACUGUGUGUGUAUUUUUCUGUGCCUGUUUGCACAGCGGUGUGUGUGUGUGUGUUGUGUGUGUGUGUCUGUGUGUGUGUGUGUAUGAUUAACCGUCACUGCAUCAGAGAGGCUGCAGGCAGAUAGUGAAACACUUCAGGAUCGUGAUCGAUGUACGAAAACUCUGAUGCAGAGCAAGAUGUGCUGCCCACUGCCAGCUACUCCUGCUCGAGCCCAUCCACCCGGGAUUGUUCUUCACCAGCUGUCUAGCCCACCCCACCCUUGCCAGCUCUCCAGCCAAUCCAGCUCUCUCUCUCACCAGUUCACUACCAACCAAAAAACGGCAAAAGGAAGUCAGAAUCGGGCCGAAGAGACUUGGUUGAAGCUUUAAAGGAGUUGCAGAGCAAUGACCAGGAACUACUAUAAAGCUGACUUCUACACAACAACACUUUCAAUAUAUGAAGUAGAGGAAAAAGAAAGGGCUGCAGAGAUUGCAGCACGGGCUGAGGAGCGGCGCAGUUUCAACCAGGGAUUCCGCUGCAUCCUGGGACGACUGGUGGACACAAUUGCCACGUCGCGUCCACACCCUUGCUUCUUAUUUGUACAUAGUUCACGUGUUUGCAUGGUUUGAUUUGAACUAUUUGCUUUUAUGCACAUUGCAGUCUUAUUACUUCUUAUUUGUACAUAGUUCACAUGGUUUGUUUCACUCUGUUUGUUUUUAUGCACAUUGCAGUCUCUUCUUAUUUGUAAAGUUCCUACCUUUAAUUUUUUAAGAAUGAUUUACUAUGUUCUAUUUAAAGUUUGCAUGUGUACUUUGAGCACACAUUGGGUCAUUUCCACUCUCAGAA